GCAAGUCGAACGGAAACGAUGGGAGCUUGCUCCCAGGCGUCGAGUGGCGGACGGGUGAGUAAUACAUAGGAAUCUACCCAGUAGCGGGGGACAACCUGGUGAAAACCAGGCUAAUACCGCAUACGCCUUCCGGGGGAAAGCGGGGGAGCUUAGGGCUUCGCACUAUUGGAUGAGCCUAUGUCAGAUUAGGUUGUUGGUAGGGUAACGGCCUACCAAGGCGACGAUGUGUAGCUGGUCUGAGAGGACGAUC
rnacentral:rRNA from 1 species